AGCGAACGCUGGCGGCAGGCCUAACACAUGCAAGUCGAACGAACCCUUCGGGGUUAGUGGCGGACGGGUGAGUAACACGUGGGAACGUGCCUUUAGGUUCGGAAUAACUCAGGGAAACUUGUGCUAAUACCGAAUGUGCCCUUCGGGGGAAAGAUUUAUCGCCUUUAGAGCGGCCCGCGUCUGAUUAGCUAGUUGGUGAGGUAAUGGCUCACCAAGGCUACGAUCAGUAGCUGGUCUGAGAGGAUGACCAGCACAUUGGGACUGAGACACGGCCCAAACUCCUCCGGGAGGCAGCAGUGGGGAAUCUUGCGCAAUGGGCGAAAGCCUGACGCGGCCAUGCCGCGUGGAUGAUGAAGGUCUUAGGAUUGUAAAAUCCUUUCACCGGUGAAGAUAAUGACUGUAGCCGGAGAAGAAGCCCCGGCUAACUUCGUGCCAGCAGCCGCCGCGGUAA
rnacentral:rRNA from 1 species